GGCUACAGAAUCAACGCUGGCGGCGUGCCUCAGACAUGCAAGUCGAACGAUUAAAGCUCUCUUCGGAGAGUGUAUAGAGUGGCGCACGGGUGAGUAACACGUAAGUAAUCUACCCUCGAGUGGGGAAUAACAACCGGAAACGGUUGCUAAUACCGCAUAAUGCAGCGGCACCGCAAGGUGACAGUUGUUAAAGAUUUAUCGCUUGAGGAGGAGCUUGCGGCAGAUUAGCUAGUUGGUAGGGUAAACGGCUUACCAAGGCUACGAUCUGUAACCGGUCUAAGAGGACGGUCGGUCACACUGACACUGAAUAACGGGUCAGACUCCUACGGGAGGCAGCAGUCGGGAAUUUUGGGCAAUGGGCGAAAGCCUGACCCAGCAACGCCGCGUGAAGGAUGAAGUAUUUCGGUAUGUAAACUUCGAAAGAAUAGGAAGAAUUAAUGACGGUACUAUUUAUAAGGUCCGGCUAACUACGUG
rnacentral:rRNA from 1 species